GGACUACAAGGGUAUCUAAUCCCUUUCGCUCCCCUGGCUUUCGUCCAUGAGCGUCAGUUAUGGCCCAGCAGAGCGCCUUCGCCACUGGUGUUCUUCCCGAUAUCUACGCAUUUCACCGCUACACCGGGAAUUCCCUCUGCCCCUACCACACUCAAGCCUUGUAGUUUCCAUCGCUGAAAUGGAGUUGAGCUCCACGCUUUAACGACAGACUUACAAGGCCGCCUGCGGACGCUUUACGCCCAAUAAUUCCGGAUAACGCUUGCCACUCCCGUAUUACCGCGGCGGCUGGCAC
rnacentral:misc_RNA from 1 species